rnacentral:rRNA from 1 species
CUGUACAGUUCAGAGUUUGAUCCUGGCUCAGAACGAACGCUGGCGGCACGCUUAAAGCAUGCAAGUCGAGGGGCAGCAAUGUAGCAAUACAGUUGGCGACCGGCGCACGGGUGAGUAACACGUAAGGAUCUGCCUGAAGGUCUGGGAUAGCUAAUGGAAACAUUAGGUAAUACCGGAUGGUACCGAGAGGUUAAAGCUAAGUAAUUAGUGCCUUUGGAUGAACUUGCGGUUCAUUAGCUAGUUGGUGAGGUAAGAGCUUACCAAGGCGACGAUGGAUAGCCGGCCUGAGAGGGUGAACGGCCACAAUGGAACUGAGACACGGUCCAU